GCAUAUCAAUAAGCGGAGGAAAAGAAACUAACAAGGAUUCCCCUAGUAACGGCGAGUGAAGCGGGAAGAGCUCAAAUUUGAAAUCUGGUGGCCUCAGGUCAUCCGAGUUGUAAUCUAUAGAAGUGUUUUCCGUGCUGGCUCAUGUACAAGUCCCUUGGAACAGGGCGUCAUAGAGGGUGAGAAUCCCGUCCUUGACAUGAACUACCAGUGCUCUGUGAUACAUUUUCAACGAGUCGAGUUGUUUGGGAAUGCAGCUCAAAAUGGGUGGUAAAUUCCAUCUAAAGCUAAAUAUUGGCGAGAGACCGAUAGCGAACAAGUACCGUGAGGGAAAGAUGAAAAGCACUUUGGAAAGAGAGUUAAACAGUAUGUGAAAUUGUUGAAAGGGAAACGAUUGAAGUCAGUCGUGCUCUUUGGAUUCAGCCGGUUCUGCCGGUGUACUUCCUUUGAGUGGGGUCAACAUCAGUUUUGAUCGCUGGAUAAAGGCUGGAGGAACGUAGUACCCUCGGGUAAACUUAUAGCCUCCUGUCACAUACAGUGGUUGGGACUGAGGAACGCAGCACGCCUUUAUGGCCGGGAUUCGUCCACGUACGUGCUAGGA
rnacentral:rRNA from 1 species